ensembl:lncRNA
CUCGAAUGGACUGUUGUUUUGUGUUCUUGAAUGGACUGUUGGUUUGGAAUGUCAUAGCCUCUGUGCUCUAGAAUGGACUGAUGGUUUGGAAUGGCAUAGCCCCUGUGCUCUAGAAUGGACUGCUGGUUUGGAAUGUCAUAGCCUCUGUGUUCUCGAAUGGACUGUUGGAUUGUGUUCUUGAAUGGACUGUUGGUUUGGAAUGUCAUAGCCUCUGUGUUCUAGAAUGGACUGUUGGUUUGUGUUCUAGAAUGGACUGUUGGUUUGGAGUGUCGUAGCCUCUGUGUUCUAGAAUAGACUGUUGGUUUGGAAUGGCAUAGCCCCUGUGCUCUAGAAUGGACUGCUGGUUUGUGUUCUAGAACUGACUGUUGGUUUGUAGUGUCAUAGCCUCUGUGUUCUAGAAUGGACUGUUGGCUUGGUGGAUAUCAUAGCCUCUGUGUUCUAGAAUGGACUGUUGGUUUGGAAUGUCAUAGCCUCUGUGUUCUAGAAUGGACUGUUGGUUUGGAGUGUCAUAGCCUCUGUGUUCUAGAAUAGACUGUUGGUUUGGAAUGUCAUAGCCUCUGUGUUCUAGAAUGGACUGUUGGUUUGUAGUGUCAUAGCCUCUGUGUUCUCAAAUGGACUGUUGGUUUGUGUUCUAGAAUGGACUGUUGGUUUGGAGUGUCAUAGCCUCUGUGUUCUAGAAUAGACUGUUGGUUUGGAUUGUCAUAGCCUCUGUGUUCUAGAAUGGACUGUUGGUUUGUGUUCUAGAAUGGACUGUUGGUUUGUAGUGUCAUAGCCUCUGUGUUCUAGAAUGGACUGUUGGUUUGGAAUGUCAUAGCCUCUGUGUUCUAGACUAGCCUGUUGGUUUGGAAUUUCAUAGCCUCUGUGUUCUAGAAUGGACUGUUGGUUUGUGUUCUAGAAUGGACUGUUGGUUUGGAAUGUCAUAGCCUCUGUGCUCUAGAAUGGACUGCUGGUUUGGAAUGGCAUAGCCUCUGUGCUCUAGAAUGGACUGCUGGUUUGGAAUGGCAUAGCCUCUGUGUUCUAGAAUGGACUGUUGGUUUGGAAUGUCAUAGCCUCUGUGUUCUCGAAUGUACUGUUGGUUUGUGUUCUUGAAUGGACUGUUGGUUUGGAAUGUCAUAGCCUCUGUGCUCUAGAAUGGACUGCUGGUUUGGAAUGGCAUAGCCUCUGUGCUCUAGAAUGGACUGCUGGUUUGGAAUGGCAUAGCCUCUGUGUUCUAGAAUGGACUGUUGGUUUGGAAUGUCAUAGCCUCUGUGUUCUCGAAUGUACUGUUGGUUUGUGUUCUUGAAUGGACUGUUGGUUUGGAAUGUCAUAGCCUCUGUGCUCUAGAAUGGACUGCUGGUUUGGAGUGGCAUAGCCUCUGUGUUCUAGAAUAGACUAUGUUCUCAUCUCAGUACUGUAGCCUCACAAACUCACACAUGGCUAGAAUUAGAUCAGUUGUCAACAGCUGUUCCCUUUUUUAAAACAGGGAAGGGCUGAGGACAUGUUGUCACUCUGUAGUGUCUUCCAUCUUCAGAGACAAGGAAGCAGAGUGCUGUAUUUAGGUACACUUCACAUAAUGCAUAAUCAGCUCUCAACAAUGUGAUGCAGAUAUACCGCCUUUCUUAUUACGUUCCUGUUGUUAUUCUAGCUCUUAUUUUCAUACAAAUAAACAUAAAAUAAAUUGAA